AUUGAACGCUGGCGGCAGGCCUAACACAUGCCAGUCGAACGGUAACAGGAAGCAGCUUGCUGCUUUGCUGACGAGUGGCGGACGGGUGAGUAAUGUCUGGGAAACUGCCUGAUGGAGGGGGAUAACUACUGGAAACGGUAGCUAAUACCGCAUAACGUCGCAAGACCAAAGAGGGGGACCUUCGGGCCUCUUGCCAUCGGAUGUGCCCAGAUGGGAUUAGCUAGUAGGUGGGGUAACGGCUCACCUAGGCGACGAUCCCUAGCUGGUCUGAGAGGAUGACAAGAAACAAUGGAACUGAGACACGGUCCAGACUCCUACGGGAGGCAGCAGGGGGGAAGAUUGAACAAGGGGGGCAAGAGGGAUGCAGCCAUACGGGGUGGGGGAAGAAGGCAUUCGGGUUGUAAAGUACUUUGGGGGGGGAGGAAGGGGAAAAAGUUAAUACCUCGGUGAUUGGAGGUUACCCAAAGAAGAAGAACCGGCUAACUCGGGG
rnacentral:rRNA from 1 species